rnacentral:lncRNA from 1 species
GGCGUAGGACUACAUGCACUAUGCGAUGUGUAUGUAAUGUAUUUGAAUUCAGAGUAAAAAAGCCGUUGCAUCAAUUAUCAUCCUCCUGAAUACUCUCCUUUUCUCCUGCAAAUUUACAGUAUGGGCAUCCUUUUUUAACAUCUUUCGUCAAAGAAGUGGAUUCAAAGCACAUUGUGGCCUCAGUAUAUUGAUGUGAAACCAUGCAGAAAAUGCUACUCUCUCUCAACCUUGUGGAUGUUCCCUACUUCCCUAAGGAUCAGCAGCCUCUUGAAACAGUUGAAGCCAUUAUCGAAUUCCUUGCGUCUA